UUAUAAGCGGAGGAAAAGAAAUUACAAGGAUUCCCCUAGUAAUGGCGAAUGAAGCGGGAACAGCUCAAAUUUGAAAUCUCCGUCGCCUGCGACGGCGAAUUGUAGUUUCGAGAAGCACUUUCUAGGUGGACCCGGGGCCGUCCAAGUUGCUUGGAACAGCACGUCAUAGAGGGGUGACAACCCCGUCUGUGGCGGAACCGGCCGCUGACGAUGCGCUUUCGACGAGUCGGGUUGUUUGGGAAUGCAGCCCAAAAUGGGUGGUAAACUCCAUCUAAAGCUAAAUACUGGCACGAGACCGAUAGCGAACAAGUACCGUGAGGGAAAGAUGAAAAGCACUUUGAAAAGAGAGUUAAAAAGUACGUGAAACCGUUAAAAGGGAAACGAAUGGGGUUAGCAAUGCGCUCUGCGAGAUUCAGCCGGUGGACGAGCUGGGCGGGCGGUUUGCGGAUCUGAAUGGACCGCGGCCGUUCGCGUCGGCCCUUCGACCGUCGCACUUCUCGCGAGCGCGCGUCAGCGUCGGUUGGGACUGGGUCUCAAAGGCGCCGGGAAGGUAGGUCUUUCCUCUCGGGGACAGACUGUUAUAGACCGGCGUUUUCAUGGCUCGGACCUGACCGAGGUGCCGCGGCGUGUGCCUUUUUUGGCUGGGGUCCCGUCGUUCCGGUCGGUCGUCGACUGUGGUGGACUGCGUGCAGUGCGCCGCGACUGCUGCCGGUCGCUUCGGCGGUGACCUCACACCACGCGCCCAGGACGCUGGCGGUCACAUGGCCUCAUCCGACCCGUCUUGAAACACGGACCAAGGAGUCUAACAUGUGCGCGAGUCUUCGAGUGAUCGAAACUCCCAGGCGGAAUGAAAGUGAAGGUGGCCUCGGCCGCUGAGGUGAGAACCCGCCCCCGCGGUGGGUGCAUCAUCGACCGACCUAUUCUACUCUUAGGAAGGUUUGAGUAAGAGCGCAUCUGUU
rnacentral:rRNA from 1 species